CCUACGGGUGACUGCAGUGAGGAAUAUUGGUCAAUGGACGAGAGUCUGAACCAGCCAAGUAGCGUGAAGGAUGACUGCCCUCUGGGUUGUAAACUUCUUUUAUAUGGGAAUAAACUGUUCCACGUGUGGCCUUUUGUAUGUACCAUACGAAUAAGGAUCGGCUAACUCCGUGCCAGCAGCCGCGGUAAUGCGGAGGAUACGAGCGUUAUCCGGAUUUAUUGGGUUUAACGGGAGCGUAGGUGGAUUGUUAAGUCAGUUGUGAAAGUUUGCGGCGCAACCGUAAAAUUGCAGUUGAAACUGGCAGUCUUGAGUACAGUAGAGGUGGGCGGAAUUCGAGGUGUAGCGGUGAAAUGCGUAGAGAUCACGAAGAACUCCGAUGGCGAAGGCAGCUCACUGGAC
rnacentral:rRNA from 1 species